rnacentral:rRNA from 1 species
UACAGAGGUCUCAAGCGUUGUUCGGAUUCAUUGGGCGUAAAGGGUGCGUAGGUGGCGCGCUAAGUCAGGUGUGAAAUUUCGGAGCUUAACUCCGAAACUGCAUUUGAUACUGGCGUGCUUGAGGACUGGAGAGGAGACUGGAAUUCACGGUGUAGCAGUGAAAUGCGUAGAUAUCGGGAGGAACACCAGUGGCGAAGGCGACUUCCUGGCCUGUUCUUGACGCUGAGGCGCGAAAGCUAGGGUAGCAAACGGG